UCUACCUACGGGGGGCAGCAGUGGGGGAUAUUGCACAAUGGGCGAAAGCCUGAUGCAGCGACGCCGCGUGAGGGAAGACGGUCUUCGGAUUGUAAACCUCUGUCUUUGGGGAAGAAAUCAGACGGUACCCAAAGAGGAAGCUCCGGCUAACUACGUGCCAGCAGCCGCGGUAAUACGUAGGGAGCGAGCGUUGUCCGGAAUUACUGGGUGUAAAGGGAGCGUAGGCGGGCUUGUAAGUUGAAUGUCUAAUCCACCGGCUCAACCGGUGAUCGCGGUCAAAAAUGCAGGUCUUGAGGGACGUAGAG
rnacentral:rRNA from 1 species